rnacentral:pre_miRNA from 1 species
GGUAUACUCCCUCCGUCCCAAAAUUAUUGUCUUAAGUUUGUCUAAAAAUGAAUGUAUCUAAAUACUAAAUCGUGACUAGAUACAUUCAUAUUUAGACAAAUCUAAGACAAGAAUUUUGGGACGGAUGGAGUAUAUC